AUUGAACGCUGGCGGCAUGCUUUACACAUGCAAGUCGAACGGCAGCGGGGGCUUCGGCCUGCCGGCGAGUGGCGAACGGGUGAGUAAUGCAUCGGAACGUGCCCAUGUCGUGGGGGAUAACGUAUCGAAAGGUACGCUAAUACCGCAUACGUCCUGAGGGAGAAAGCGGGGGAUCUUCGGACCUCGCGCGAUUGGAGCGGCCGAUGUCGGAUUAGCUAGUAGGUGAGGUAAAGGCUCACCUAGGCGACGAUCCGUAGCGGGUCUGAGAGGAUGAUCCGCCACACUGGGACUGAGACACGGCCCAGACUCCUACGGGAGGCAGCAGUGGGGAAUUUUGGACAAUGGGCGCAAGCCUGAUCCAGCCAUGCCGCGUGAGUGAAGAAGGCCUUCGGGUUGUAAAGCUCUUUCGGCCGGGAAGAAAUCGGCGACUCUAACAUAGUCGCUGGAUGACGGUACCGGACUAAGAAGCACCGGCUAACUACGUGCCAGCAGCCGCAGUAA
rnacentral:rRNA from 1 species